GAUGAACGCUGGCGGCGUGCCUAAUACAUGCAAGUCGAGCGAACAGACGAGGAGCUUGCUCCUCUGACGUUAGCGGCGGACGGGUGAGUAACACGUGGAUAACCUACCUAUAAGACUGGGAUAACUUCGGGAAACCGGAGCUAAUACCGGAUAAUAUAUUGAGCCGCAUGGUUCAAUAGUGAAAGACGGUUUUGCUGUCACUUAUAGAUGGAUCCGCGCCGCAUUAGCUAGUUGGUAAGGUAACGGCUUACCAAGGCAACUAUGCGUAGCCGACCUGAGAGGGUGAUCGGCCACACUGGAACUGAGACACGGUCCAGACUCCUACGGGAGGCAGCAGUAGGGAAUCUUCCGCAAUGGGCGAAAGCCUGACGGAGCAACGCCGCGUGAGUGAUGAAGGUCUUCGGAUCGUAAAACUCUGUUAUUAGGGAAGAACAAAUGUGUAAGUAACUAUGCACGUCUUGACGGUACCUAAUCAGAAAGCCACGGCUAACUACGUG
rnacentral:rRNA from 1 species